rnacentral:rRNA from 1 species
CCUACGGGAGGCAGCAGUGGGGAAUUUUGGACAAUGGGCGCAAGCCUGAUCCAGCAAUGCCGCGUGAGUGAAGAAGGCCUUCGGGUUGUAAAGCUCUUUUGUCAGGGAAGAAACGGUGGGAGCUAAUAUCUCCUACUAAUGACGGUACCUGAGGAAUAAGCACCGGCUAACUACGUGCCAGCAGCCGCGGUAAUACGUAGGGUGCAAGCGUUAAUCGGAAUUACUGGGCGUAAAGCGUGCGCAGGCGGUUUUGUAAGUCUGUCGUGAAAGCCCCGGGCUCAACCUGGGAAUUGCGAUGGAGACUGCAAGGCUUGAAUCUGGCAGAGGGGGGGUAGAAUUCCACGUGUAGCAGUGAAAUGCGUAGAGAUGUGGAGGAACACCGAUGGCGAAGGCAGCCCCCUGGGUCAAGAUUGACGCUCAUGCACGAAAGCGUGGGGAGCAAACAGGAUUAGAUACCCUGGUAGUCCACGACCCUAAACGAUGUCUACUAGUUGUUCGGGUUUUAAUUAACGUUGGUAACGCAGCUAACGCGUGAAGUAGACCGCCGUGGGGAGUACGGUCGCGAAGAUUAAAACGUCAAAGGAUUAGACGG